rnacentral:pre_miRNA from 1 species
CACAUGAUUGCUGGAUCAUAUGGUAAGAGUAUUUUUAAUUUUCUAGGAAACUACCAAACUGUCUUCCAAAGUGACUUUACCAUCUUGCAUUCCCACCAGCAAU